GGUUGGUCACCAGUUUCAUGGUGGACUCCAGCUUCUCUUGCAGGUUCCUUAUUUCAUUCUGUUCUCCGUCUGCAUCACUGCUCACCAGGGACAUGGCCCGCAUUCGAGGAAACCAGUCCAAGUUGUGUUCCUGAGGUAUUUUAAUUCCUGCUGCUGUGGCCACCCAACGCAUGCAGUAAGGGAGGAACUGGUGACAUAACCGCACCCAUCAGAGCCAUCUCUGAUGGCAAGCAACUGAAUCAACAGCACAUCCCGUUCUACACGGAGCUUGGAACGCUGGUCUCCUGGCAACGACACGGCCAGCGUUGGGCCGAGAAGAGAGCCAGCAUGCUCAGCGGCACAGCAGCCACAAGGAGUGCAAGAUCAGUGGUGUGAAUUAAAUCCUAUAUUUUCUCUAUUCCUAAGCAUUGCAGUCAAAAACGGGCAUGCCUGAGAAUAUGUAAUAAAAAAGAGCAGGUACCAUGA